CUGCAGUAGGCAGGAUUCCAAGGCAACUCUUGUUCACAUCAGAGUUUGAGAAGCAACUGUUCUAGAAUACACUAGGGAGCCAUGUGAGAUCUCAGGGUCAAGUAUAGAGUGACUUGAGAAGAAGGCUGCUGGAGCCACAUGGGGUACCUGUGUCCUUUUGGCUGUGGAGUUUGCGCAGGAAGAGGUUUGGAGAUCCAGGAGCCUGAAGUCAGAUGACAGAUUUGAUUAAGUGAAACAAAGCCCCAGCUGCUGGAGCAGAGGUUCCACUCGGGUUCCACAGACACCCACAGCCCAAAUCCCUGGAGGCCUAAGGCAAUAGCUAAUUGAGACUAUGCAUCACUAUUAAGGCAUCUUCACUAAAGGGCGCUGUGGAAACGCUGCCUGAGAUGCAGACACCUGUCAGAAGGGGGCUAAAUUUCAAACAAGGAACGUGGUGUUGCAUCACAAUAAAGUGACUGAGUUCAAUAUGAUCAGAGCUGAACCAUUUCAAAAAGCAGCACAAGUGGCGACUGCCAGUAACCGACAAUAACCGAGUUUAAUCCCCCUCUUCUGCUCCUUCCCUCUGAUGGAAUUCUCAUUUUCCCUGGCCUCCCCCAUUGACAUUCAUCCAAUGCCCAUGCUGCUGGAUCAGUCUUCCUGGAGCCACAUCCAACUUAGAAAGAUGAAGGACUUCCAACCUUUUGGGAGAUGACAAUGUGUUAUCAAAAUCAACAAACUAAUAGAUUGACUUCCUUUGCGUAUUUUUGCGAUGUUCUGUGAGAUAUCAAGUCACUUCCCUGGUAGUUUCUUAUUCAGUAUUUCACUGUACUGCUUUAAAAAAAAAAAAGUCAGUCCUCAACCCUAACAGAGUCACUUGGAGAUCUUGUUAAAAAGUUGAGUUUAGAGUCUGAUACAGGUUUUGAGAUGGCCCUGAGAACUUAGGUUUUUUCAUAGGCUCUCUGGGCAACUUUUAUGGGGCAGAGGUUUAGAAAGCUAGGAGUAAGCUGCCAGGUAUCAGGAAACCACUAGAUGGCAGGGCCAUCCCUUGGAGCCCGUUCUUCAAUCAAGAAAGCGGUCAGAGAGGAAAGUGGAGUGGGGAAGAGUCCAAGUACACAUGUUAAAUGCACGUUAAUAAGUGGAUGGUGAAGAUGAGCUUAGGUGUUGGGUCCUAGGGGGAGAGUGGGAAGGAUUCCUGUCACUUCUCACCUCUUUCUAGCUUUAUCUCCAGUAUUUGAAAUGCCUGGAGGAUCCUUAACUGAAACUCUGCACUAGUCAACUGUGCUGUACUGUAGCACAACCACUUUAAAAAGGUGAAAGUAGGAAAACUAGCUCAAUGAGAGGGCUAAUAUUUUUAUGGGGCCAAUGAUUUGAAUUGGUAGACAUAUAUGCCCUCCUACAUGAUAUAGGAGAUAGAGUGCAAAAACCAAACCAAAGUGUUUUUUCCUACCCUCACUCACCACACACUACUCCUCACAUGCCAAGCAAGCAAGCAAGCAAUUUUUCUGCAGAUUCUGCAGUGCACACCAGCUGGGUGUCCUCUAAUUCAACUCAAUUCUUACACUAGCUAUCUAGAGAUACUGUCAGAUCCCACAGGUUAAGGGCUCAGUCCCACAAGACUGUCCCCCACUUCAGAGGCCAGUUAUAAGACUGAAUUGUCAGAACUUCUGAUCCACUGGCUGCAAACUGGGGCUCCCAAGACCCUGCCCAGGGGUUCAAUUAAUUUGUUACCGUGGCUCACAGAGCUCAGGGCAACACUUUACUUACAUUUACUGGUUUAUUAGUUAGAGGUAUAAUAAAGGAUGCAGAUGAACAGCCAGAUGGAAAGAUACUCAGGGAGCUAUCUGGAAUGGUCCCAGCACUGGAGCUCCUGUCCCUGUGGAGUUAGGGUACACACACUCCCAGCAUGUGGAUGUAUUUGCAAACCUGGAACCUCUCUGAACCCUGUCCUUUUGGUUUUAUAGAAGCUUUAAUUUGUAGGCAUGAUUGAUUACAUCACUGGCCGUUGGUGAUCGACUCCAUUUUCAGCCCUCCUCCCUAUCUGCUGGUUAUGGGGUGGAGCUGAAAAUCCUAACUUUCCAAUCCAGCCUUGGUUUUUACUGUGACCCACUCCCAACCUGAAGCUAUCCAGGGGCCCUCAGCUACCAGUCACCUCAUUAACAUAUAAAGGAUUAUAUGCUAAUUAUAUAGUAUAUAUUAUUAUGUUAUAUAAUAAUAUAAUAUGUACCUAUAAUUACAUGCUAUAUUAUAUAUGCUAUCUAGUAAUAUAGUUAGCAUACACUCCUUUAUAUGCUAAUAUAUAAUUAUGCUAUAUAAUUAGCAUAUACACUCUAAACACUCCUUAGAUUCCAAGGAUUUUAGGAGCUUUAUGCCAGGAAAAGAUAAGGAAGACCAAAUGUAUAUUUCACAAAAAUCACACCUUCUAAGUGUAUGACACUUUCUAAGAAAUUAGCAGACAUUACAAAUCAGAUAUAAAACAGAUGUUACCAUCCCAUGAGGCUUUUUUUUGAAAUGUGCAUUUCCCCCUAAAACCAGGAAGUGGCAUAAUGGAGAUGAGAGCUCAGAUCUCUUGCUUUUCUCCUUAGUGGUCACUGAGGUCACUAAGUGUCUUGGUGUGCAACUAACAUUUAGAUAAAGACAGGUGUGUAAGACCAAAACUGUAUCUUUCUCUUUUUAAGCCACUUGAAUUAUUUUUGGUGUCUGAAUUUUUCAAAAUUCCAACCUAAUUUGUGCUGUCUUCAAAACAGUCUUAUUAUUGGAACUAUCACUGUGAAUGAACAUUAUACUCUAACAGUGGUAUGUUAUAUGAAAUGGUACCAUUUAGUCCUUAAAAUUGAUUGGAAAACAGUGAUUGGGGAGCAUUUAAAUAUAUUUUAAAAGUGAGAGAAGUAACAAUUAAUGCUAUACUUUUUUUAAUAGGGAGAGUAUAUUUUCAUUGUAAGUAUCUAUUAAUGAUUGAAAUGUUCAGAGGAACUACUGAAUUCAUCAUCUGUGUUUAGAUGAAGCAAAGACGAAACCCCCUUAACAGUUACUCAAUUUUUUGAUUACCCUUGCUGGCGACUUGAGGAAAGAGUGGAUAAAAACUGCCACUGCCAGCUGGGUGCGGUGGCUCACUCCUGUAAUCCCAGCAUUUUGGGAGGCCAAGGCGGACGGAUCAUGAGGUCAGGAGUUCGAGGCCAGCCUGGCCAAUAUGGCGAAACCCUGUCUCUACUAAAAAUACACAAAUUAGCUGGGCAUGGUGGCAGGCGCCUGUAAUCCUAGCUAUUUGGGAGGUUGAGGCAGGAGAAUCGCUUGAACCCGGGAGGCGGAGGUUGUAGUGAGCUGAGAUUGUGCCAUUGCAAACAAAACAAAACAAAACCUGCCACUGCCAAUCUGGAGUUGGAGUUAUCAAAACUGAUGAUAUCUGGAAGAGGGCAGAAGAUGUUACCAUCUGCAAGUUUAGGAUGCUGAAGAAGUGGCAAGAAAAGGAUCAGAGCCUUGCCGCAGCCCAGAAUUUAUGUAAGUGCUUGAAAGACAUCAUCUCUCUUGAAGUCCAAGAUGUGUUGGAAGCAAUAUUUGCAGAUAUGCAAACUGGCCCCUUGCAUGCACAUCCUGGAGCACGUCCUGGAGCCUUUAGAGGUGAGUGAGAAGGAGACGGCUGCUGCUGUUCCAGUCUCUCCUUAGGUAGACUUGAGUUUCUACCCACUCUUCCCAAGCAACUGCCCCUCCGCACCCGAGCGAGCCAGAGACCUGGCCGGCUGAGUACUCACUGCGCGCUGGACACAUGCUGAGCCGGCACUGCAGGGACACUGGGCGAGCCGCUGGAUGCAGACCUGUGGCCGCGGCAGUUGGGCUUAUCUUGCCCAUGAAGUUGCCUCUGAAGAACCAAGUCCAACUGUGUAUGCUGAGAGAUGUCUGGCUACUUCCUGAUUGACAGUUCUGGCAAGGUGGCAUUCGGCCCUGGCUUUUCCUCUGAAGGCAUCAUCACUUAUAGGAAAAUGUCCCCUGAAGUCCAAGGAUCAAAGCUGCUGGAACACUGAGAAGCUGAACAAAGGAGAACUGUUUCUCAUCAAACCCAGACUUCCAGACUUCCAAUAGGGUAGAAUGAGCAAGUCAACAAAUCAUCUUCCUUGGAAACAGUGAUAAAACUAGAUGACAUUGUCAACAACAGCCAUUUCAGAAAUCUAGAAAAUGACCAAAGGCAAACAACAAACUGAGAAGCAUUUUUUUUUCAUGAAAAAUGGCUCUAUUUCUGCAAAAAUAGUGGGAGUCUAUGGCUUCUCACCCAGGGCUGUUUCUCUCCCCACCCCAGCUCAGUCAGUACAAAGGUUCUGGCAGCAUGAGGCAGACUGAACAGACCUGAAGUUUCAUUGCUGGAAGAAACUGACUCCAGGUUUGGCAGAGGGUGAGAAACCUACUCCCAGCCAUGUUGUCUGGUGACACAGUGAUCUUAGGGACAAGUGAAUAGGGAAGGCCAGUGAUUCAUUAACCUGAGGUUGCAGUCCUGGUUGGGGAAAGCAUCAGAAUGGCAGACAAGCUAGAAAUUUAGUAGGGAUAUGCUGGAAAUGAGACAACACCAAAGGGGCUUGACCCCAAAGUUGUCCACACACCCCAGCUGCCUUCUGAGCAGAUGUAGGGAGAGACCAGAGAAGGCCUAGGCUAUCCACACAUCUCUGGCUAACCCAGGCUGUAAACCUGUGGAGGAGACACAAGAGGUGGAUUGAUUGCUAAUGAGCAUAUGGGGGAUCUUACUGGUUGAUAGGAACGUUCUCAAAUUGGAUUGUGGUGAUGCUUGCACAACUCUAAGUUUAUCCCAAAUUGCUAAAUUUUACACUAAAAAGGGGUGAACUUUAGGGUAUAUAAAUUAUACAUCAAUAAAGUUGUCAUAAAGCAUUCACAUUCUAAUAAAUGGCUCUAAGAAA